rnacentral:rRNA from 1 species
AGCGGCGAACGGGUGAGUAACACGUGGGUGAUCUGCCCUGCACUUCGGGAUAAGCCUGGGAAACUGGGUCUAAUACCGGAUAUGACCUCCUAUCGCAUGGUGGGUGGUGGAAAGAUUUAUCGGUGCAGGAUGGGCCCGCGGCCUAUCAGCUUGUUGGUGGGGUAAUGGCCUACCAAGGCGACGACGGGUAGCCGACCUGAGAGGGUGACCGGCCACACUGGGACUGAGACACGGCCCAGACUCCUACGGGAGGCAGCAGUGGGGAAUAUUGCACAAUGGGCGAAAGCCUGAUGCAGCGACGCCGCGUGAGGGAUGACGGCCUUCGGGUUGUAAACCUCUUUCAGCAGGGACGAAGCGCAAGUGACGGUACCUGCAGAAGAAGCACCGGCUAACUACGUGCCAGCAGCCGCGGUAAUACGUAGGGUGCAAGCGUUGUCCGGAAUUACUGGGCGUAAAGAGUUCGUAGGCGGUUUGUCGCGUCGUUUGUGAAAACCAGCA